UACGUACAAGCAGUGGGAGCACAGGUUUACCUGUGUGACUGCGUACCUUUUGUAUAAUGGGUCAGCGACUUAUAUUCUGUAGCAAGGUUAACCGAAUAGGGGAGCCGGAGGGAAACCGAGUCUUAAUUGGGCGUUAAGUUGCAGGGUAUAGACCCGAAACCCGGUGAUCUAGCCAUGGGCAGGUUGAAGGUUGGGUAACACUAACUGGAGGACCGAACCGACUAAUGUUGAAAAAUUAGCGGAUGACCUGUGGCUGGGGGUGAAAGGCCAAUCAAACCGGGAGAUAGCUGGUUCUCCCCGAAAGCUAUUUAGGUAGCGCCUCGUGAAUUCAUCUCCGGGGGUAGAGCACUGUUUCGGCUAGGGGGCCAUCCCGGCUUACCAACCCGAUGCAAACUGCGAAUACCGGAGAAUGUUAUCACGGGAGACACACGGCGGGUGCUAACGUCCGUCGUGAAGAGGGAAACAACCCAGACCGCCAGCUAAGGUCCCAAAGUCAUGGUUAAGUGGGAAACGAUGUGGGAAGGCCCAGACAGCCAGGAUGUUGGCUUAGAAGCAGCCAUCAUUUAAAGAAAGCGUAAUAGCUCACUGGUCGAGUCGGCCUGCGCGGAAGAUGUAACGGGGCUAAACCAUGCACCGAAGCUGCGGCAGCGACGCUUAUGCGUUGUUGGGUAGGGGAGCGUUCUGUAAGCCUGUGAAGGUGGCCUGUGAGGGUUGCUGGAGGUAUCAGAAGUGCGAAUGCUGACAUAAGUAACGAUAAAGCGGGUGAAAAGCCCGCUCGCCGGAAGACCAAGGGUUCCUGUCCAACGUUAAUCGGGGCAGGGUGAGUCGACCCCUAAGGCGAGGCCGAAAGGCGUAGUCGAUGGGAAACGGGUUAAUAUUCCCGUACUUGGUGUUACUGCGAAGGGGGGACGGAGAAGGCUAUGUUGGCCGGGCGACGGUUGUCCCGGUUUAAGCGUGUAGGUGUGUGUUCCAGGUAAAUCCGGUUCACUUUAACACUGAGGCGUGAUGACGAGGCACUACGGUGCUGAAGUAACAAAUGCCCUGCUUCCAGGAAAAGCCUCUAAGCAUCAGGUAACAUCAAAUCGUACCCCAAACCGACACAGGUGGUCAGGUAGAGAAUACCAAGGCGCUUGAGAGAACUCGGGUGAAGGAACUAGGCAAAAUGGUGCCGUAACUUCGGGAGAAGGCACGCUGACACGUAGGUGAAGUGAUUUACUCACGGAGCUGAAGUCAGUCGAAGAUACCAGCUGGCUGCAACUGUUUAUUAAAAACACAGCACUGUGCAAACACGAAAGUGGACGUAUACGGUGUGACGCCUGCCCGGUGCCGGAAGGUUAAUUGAUGGGGUCAGCGCAAGCGAAGCUCCUGAUCGAAGCCCCGGUAAACGGCGGCCGUAACUAUAACGGUCCUAAGGUAGCGAAAUUCCUUGUCGGGUAAGUUCCGACCUGCACGAAUGGCGUAAUGAUGGCCAGGCUGUCUCCACCCGAGACUCAGUGAAAUUGAACUCGCUGUGAAGAUGCAGUGUACCCGCGGCAAGACGGAAAGACCCCGUGAACCUUUACUAUAGCUUGACACUGAACAUUGAGCCUUGAUGUGUAGGAUAGGUGGGAGGCUUUGAAGUGUGGACGCCAGUCUGCAUGGAGCCGACCUUGAAAUACCACCCUUUAAUGUUUGAUGUUCUAACGUGGACCCGUUACCCGGGUUGCGGACAGUGUCUGGUGGGUAGUUUGACUGGGGCGGUCUCCUCCUAAAGAGUAACGGAGGAGCACGAAGGUUGGCUAAUCCUGGUCGGACAUCAGGAGGUUAGUGCAAUGGCAUAAGCCAGCUUGACUGCGAGCGUGACGGCGCGAGCAGGUGCGAAAGCAGGUCAUAGUGAUCCGGUGGUUCUGAAUGGAAGGGCCAUCGCUCAACGGAUAAAAGGUACUCCGGGGAUAACAGGCUGAUACCGCCCAAGAGUUCAUAUCGACGGCGGUGUUUGGCACCUCGAUGUCGGCUCAUCACAUCCUGGGGCUGAAGUAGGUCCCAAGGGUAUGGCUGUUCGCCAUUUAAAGUGGUACGCGAGCUGGGUUUAGAACGUCGUGAGACAGUUCGGUCCCUAUCUGCCGUGGGCGCUGGAGAACUGAGGGGGGCUGCUCCUAGUACGAGAGGACCGGAGUGGACGCAUCACUGGUGUUCGGGUUGUCAUGCCAAUGGCACUGCCCGGUAGCUAAAUGCGGAAGAGAUAAGUGCUGAAAGCAUCUAAGCACGAAACUUGCCCCGAGCGUUAGGU
rnacentral:rRNA from 1 species